rnacentral:lncRNA from 1 species
CCACUGAGGUUCCUGUUGAGGCCAAUAUAGUGCCGGAUAGUAUCUCAAACGUCCCAGUAGAAGAAGAAGAAUUAAAGCAAGCUGGAGAAGAAGAAGUGAAGAAACCUGAGGAAAAGAAAGGGAGGCCUCUUUCCCCUUAUGCCAGGUAAACCUUAUUAUCUUUGCGACUUUAUUGUAUUCAGGAGCCGCUAGAUUGAAAUUGAUUAUGCUCGCCUACAGUUUAUAUUGCUAUAACUACAGUUGGAGUAAUAAAUGUGUGAGCAGAUACUAAUUUCAAAAGUUUGAUGGCCGUUUUGUGAUGCAGCUAUGAAAAUCUGAAACCACCUUCAUCACCCUUUCCUAAAGCUUCGGGAACCAGAAAGACUGAUUCUUUGUCGCCUGGUCCAACCGAUUCUGAUACUGAUAAAAGCUCAACAGUUGCAACAAGCGUCACUGAGACAGCAGUUGCAACAAGUCCCCCUGAGACAGUAGUUGCAACAAGUGUCCCUGAGACAGCAGUUGCAACAAAUGUUACUGAGACAGCAGCACCAGCCACACCAAGAAUGAGGCCUCUUUCUCCUUAUGCAGUGUAACAACUUUGUCGUAUUGUGUUAAUUAUGUCCUCUUUAUUUAUAUUUAUAUCUAAUUCGUUUGUGGUCCGUUUUUUCUUCAAUGAAUCUAUACUGUGUUUUGCAGUUACGCUGACCUGAAACCACCAACCUCACCAACUCCUGCAUCAACUGGUCCCAAGAAAGCAGCAUCUGAAAUAACAGCAUCUGCAGAAGACAACUCAGAGUUGCCUGG